rnacentral:rRNA from 1 species
GAUGAACGCUGGCGGCGUGCCUAAUACAUGCAAGUCGAGCGAACGGACGAGAAGCUUGCUUCUCUGAUGUUAGCGGCGGACGGGUGAGUAACACGUGGAUAACCUACCUAUAAGACUGGGAUAACUUCGGGAAACCGGAGCUAAUACCGGAUAAUAUUUUGAACCGCAUGGUUCAAAAGUGAAAGACGGUCUUGCUGUCACUUAUAGAUGGAUCCGCGCUGCAUUAGCUAGUUGGUAAGGUAACGGCUUACCAAGGCAACGAUGCAUAGCCGACCUGAGAGGGUGAUCGGCCACCCGGGAACUGAGACACGGCCCAGACCCCUACGGGAGGCAGCAGUAGGGAAUUUUCCGCAAUGGGCGAAAGCCUGACGGAGCAACGCCGCGUGAGUGAUGAAGGUCUUCGGAUCGUAAAACUCUUUUAUUAGGGAAGAACAUAUGUGUAAGUAACUGUGCACAUCUUGACGGUACCUAAUCAGAAAGCCCCGGCUAACUACGU